rnacentral:rRNA from 1 species
AGAGUUUGAUCCUGGCUCAGAACGAACGCUGGCGGCGUGCUUAACACAUGCAAGUCGAACGCGAAAGUUUUCUUCGGAAAGCGAGUAGAGUGGCGCACGGGUGAGUAACGCGUAAGUAAUCUACCCUGGUAUCUGGGAUAACCCACCGAAAGGUGUGCUAAUACCGGAUACGCUGAUUUAUCAGGAAAGGUGGCCUCUUCAUGAAAGCUACUGUACCAGGAGGAGCUUGCGUACCAUUAGCUAGUUGGUAGGGUAAUGGCCUACCAAGGCGACGAUGGUUAGCGGGUCUGAGAGGAUGAUCCGCCACACUGGAACUGGAAUACGGACCAGACUCCUACGGGAGGCAGCAGUGAGGAAUAUUGCGCAAUGGGGGAAACCCUGACGCAGCGACGCCGCGUGGAUGAUGAAGGCCUUUGGGUCGUAAAAUCCUGUCAGAUGGAAAGAAAUGUAUAGAGGCUAAUACCCUUUAUAUUUGACGGUACCAUCAAAGGAAGCACCGGCUAACUCCGUGCCAGCAGUUGCGGUAAUACGGAGGGUGCAAGCGUUGUUCGGAAUUACUGGGCGUAAAGCGCGCGUAGGCGGCUAUUUAAGUCAGGUGUGAAAGUCCACGGCUCAACCGUGGAAGUGCAUCUGAAACUGGUUGGCUUGAGUACUGGAAGGGGAAGUGGAAUUCCCGGUGUAGAGGUGAAAUUCGUAGAUAUCGGGAGGAAUACCGGUGGCGAAGGCGACUUCCUGGACAGAUACUGACGCUGAGGCGCGAAAGCGUGGGGAGCAAACAGGAUUAGAUACCCUGGUAGUCCACAGCUGUAAACGAUGAGAACUAGAUGUAGGGAGGUUAACCCUCUCUGUGUCGAAGCAAACGCGUUAAGUUCUCCGCCUGGGGAGUACGGCCGCAAGGUUAAAACUCAAAGGAAUUGACGG